GACGAACGCUGGCGGCGUGCCUAACACAUGCAAGUCGAACGGAAAGGUCCCGUUGUGGGGCACCCGAGUGGCGAACGGGUGAGUAACACGUGAGUAACCUACCCUAGAUUUUGGGAUAAGUUCAGGAAACUGGGGCUAAUCCCGGAUCGGAGCAUCUAUUGCAUGGUGGGGGUCGGUAGUUUUCGGCGGUUGGGGAUGGACUCGCGGCUUAUCAGGUUGUUGGUGGGGUAGUGGCUAACCAAGGCGCUGACGGGGAGCCGGCCUGAGAGGCGGCCCGGCCACAUUAGGCCUGAGAUACGGCCCAGACUCCAACGGGAGGCAGCGGUGGAGAGUAUUGCACAGUGGGCGGGAGCCUGAUGCGGCAACGCCGCGUGCGGGAUGACGGCCUUCGGGUUGUGAACCACUUUCGCCUGUGACGAGGCGUGAGUGACGGUAAUGGGUAAAGAAGCACCGGCUAACUACGUG
rnacentral:rRNA from 1 species